GUCUGUAUGAAGUUAUAUAGAGUCUGGCCUGCCCAUUGAAAUAAUUUGAAAGGCCGCGGUAUAUUAACUGUGCAAAGGUAGCAUAAUCAUUAGCUUUUUAAUUGAAGGCUUGUAUGAAGGGUCUGACAAAGAAAAAGCUGUCUUUAGUUUUAUUUUUUGAAUUUAACUUUUAAGUGAAAAGGCUUAAAUAUGUUUAAGGGACGAUAAGACCCUAUAAAUCUUUAUAUUAAGUUUAUUUUCUUGAAUUUAAAUGAUUUGUCUAGAUUUUGUCAAGUAAAAAUAAUAAAUAUUUUGUUGGGGUGAUGAGAAUAUAAAAAUAACUGUUCUAGUAAAAAACAGAGUUGUUUGUUUAUUUAUAAUAGAUCCUUUUUAAAGAUUAAGAGUUUAAGUUACUUUAGGGAUAACAGCGUUAUUUUUUUUGAGAGUUCUUAUCGAAAAAAAAGUUUGCGACCUCGAUGUUGAAUUAAAAUAUCUUUAUGGUGUAGUAGUUAUAGAAGAGAGUCUGUUCGACUUUUAAAUUUUU
rnacentral:rRNA from 1 species